GUACACUCCUGCGGGAGGCAGCAGUGGGGAAUUUUGGACAAUGGGCGAAAGCCUGAUCCAGCAAUGCCGCGUGCAGGAUGAAGGCCUUCGGGUUGUAAACUGCUUUUGUACGGAACGAAAAAGCUCCUUCUAAUACAGGGGGCCCAUGACGGUACCGUAAGAAUAAGCACCGGCUAACUACGUGCCAGCAGCCGCGGUAAUACGUAGGGUGCGAGCGUUAAUCGGAAUUACUGGGCGUAAAGCGUGCGCAGGCGGUUAUGUAAGACAGAUGUGAAAUCCCCGGGCUCAACCUGGGAACUGCAUUUGUGACUGCAUGGCUAGAGUACGGUAGAGGGGGAUGGAAUUCCGCGUGUAGCAGUGAAAUGCGUAGAUAUGCGGAGGAACACCGAUGGCGAAGGCAAUCCCCUGGACCUGUACUGACGCUCAUGCACGAAAGCGUGGGGAGCAAACAGGAUUAGAAACCCCUGUAGUCCCAUGA
rnacentral:rRNA from 1 species